rnacentral:sRNA from 1 species
UCGGAACGUUCCGAAGAUGACGUCGGAGCGUUCUCGAAUCCCGUGUCUCUCGGCUGCUGCUGCCGAAGGAACAGGGAAAAAGCAACAAGAAGGAAGAGCAAUGGCGACACUGGAUCGCAAAGUGCCCAGUCCGGAGGCGUUUCUGGGCAAACCCUGGUCCUCCUGGAUCGACGCCGCCAAAUUACACUGCUCCGACAAUGUAGAUUUAGAAGAGGCUGGAAAAGAGGGUGGAAAAAGCAGGGAGGUUAUGAGGCUUAAUAAAGAAGCAUGGAAAUACGGUACCUGAAAUGGGACACACUGAGUAGAUAGGUCAUCCCAGACCAAGAUAUGCAAGAGAAGCCACAACCUGCUGCAAUUGGGCAUCAAACACAUAUGGUCGUCAUAAAUAAAUCAUAUCCUGUUCUCAUUUG